GGCCGGGGAAGGUCGGGGAUGCGGCCUUCCGCCCUCCUGGCGGGCAAACCC
rnacentral:ribozyme from 12 species